GGGUGUCACUGUGAGGUCCUAUGAAGAAAAAAGUAAAAAAAAAACUUACUUUCUUGCAAAAUCCUCGAUCUUGAAAUCUUAGAAUUUAUUGUAUGUGAUGCAAGUUGCAAAAAAAAUUUGUUACUUCUAAUUUUAAUAAUCAAAAUUAUUUUGAUUUAAAAUUAUAAAAAUUUUAAAAUGAUCUACAAAGAUUUUAUGAUUUAAUGUAAAAAGUUUACAUAAUAAA
rnacentral:lncRNA from 1 species